ACAAAUAUAUUCAUUAAUGAUUUAAGAUUGCAAAUCUUAAGGUGGGAAAAUCUCUUUUUGUU
rnacentral:tRNA from 1 species